rnacentral:rRNA from 1 species
UACGUAGGUGGCAAGCGUUAUCCGGAUUUACUGGGUGUAAAGGGCGUGUAGGCGGGUCUGCAAGUCAGAUGUGAAAUCUCCGGGCUUAACUCGGAAGUGUCAUCUGAAACUACGGAUCUUGAGUACUGGAGAGGAUAGUGGAAUUCCUAGUGUAGCGGUAAAAUGCGUAGAUAUUAGGAGGAACACCAGUGGCGAAGGCGGCUAUCUGGACAGUAACUGACGCUGAGGCGCGAAAGCGUGGGGAGCAAACAGGAUUAGAUACCCGU